rnacentral:rRNA from 1 species
UUAGUUCGUGGAGUGAUCUGUCUGCUUAAUUGCGUUUCAAAUUUUUAACCGAGGACCGGGUUUUGGUUUGGCUAGUGGUCCUACGAUGACUGUGAACUGUCAUGUCUUCGGAUGUACGACUAUCGGUCUAGGAUCACAUGACUUGCCCCUGGGACUCUUUUGAACGCAACGGACGUGAUUGCAACCCCUUGUUGAGAUUAGAGAUAGUCUCGAUAUUCACUGGCCAAACUGGCUGCUUUAUGCAGUCUUGUUGAAUGGUGGAUAAACUCGGGGGACUGCUGACUAUAACCAUUUCUCAAAACAGAGGAAGGUUGCGGCAAUAACAGGUCUGUGAUGCCCUCAGAUGUCCCGGGCUGCACACGUGCUACAAUGAGUGGCGCAAUGUGCUAAUGUUUUAAGGGAUAAGCGUGCGGCCAGUAGAACGUCGGCAAUUGCCCUGGCGUCUUCUACCGCACGAUUAUCAGCCUUCCCUUAACAGGGCGGGCAACCUUUUCAAAAUACCGGUUUGAUGUUAAAGUAUAGAGUCGUUUUUUUUGGAUGGUGGUUUACGAACCAAUACCAUCCGCAACUGCUCGCGAGUUUGUGGUUCUGGUGACUCAUGGUGGGACCGA